rnacentral:rRNA from 1 species
GAUGAACGCUGGCGGCGUGCUUAACACAUGCAAGUCGAGCGAGAAAUUUAUAUAUGAUUCUUCGGAAGAUUAUAUAAAUGGAAAGCGGCGGACGGGUGAGUAACGCGUGGGUAACCUGCCCUAUGCAGGGGGAUAACACAUUGAAAAGUGUGCUAAUACCGCAUAAGACCACAAAAUCGCAUGAUUUAGUGGUAAAAACUCCGGUAGCAUAGGAUGGACCCGCGUCUGAUUAGCUAGUAGGUAAGGUAACGGCUUACCUAGGCAACGAUCAGUAGCCGACCUGAGAGGGUGAACGGCCACAUUGGGACUGAGACACGGCCCAAACUCCUACGGGAGGCAGCAGUGGGGAAUAUUGCACAAUGGGGGAAACCCUGAUGCAGCGACGCCGCGUGAAGGAAGAAGGUUUUCGGAUCGUAAACUUUCUAUCAGCAGGGAAGAUAGUGACAGUACCUGACUAAGAAGCCCCGGCUAAC